rnacentral:rRNA from 1 species
GAUGAACGCUAGCGGCAGGCCUAACACAUGCAAGUCGAGGGACAGGACACUUUGGGGUUACCAAUACCGGCGCCCGGUUGCGUAACGCGUAUACAAUCUGCCUUUCCCAUAUUGAUAUCCCGAAGAACUUUGGAUUAAUACCUAUUGUACUAUAUACGCGGCAUCGUUUUUAUAUUAAAGCUACGGUAGUUUAAGCGGAGUAUGCGUUCUAUUUGCUAGUUGGUGAGGUAACGGCUCCCCAAGGAGACGAUAGAGAGGGGUUAGGAGAUGGAGGUACCCCAGAAUGGUACUGAGAUACGGACCAGAAUGCUACGGGAGGGAGCAGUGAGGAAUAUUGGACAAUGGUGGGAAGACUGAUCCAGCCAUGCCGCGUGCAGGAUGAAGGGCGUAUGGAUGGUAAACUGCUUUUGAAAGAGAAGAAUAAGAGCUACGUGUAGUUUGAUGACGGUACCUUACGAAUAAGCAUCGGCUAACUCCGUG